UCCAGCGAGCCAAUCGCCCGGUUCGGUCUAGGGUUGAUUUUGAGCUUUCCUUGAUGGAUUUUAGGUUCGAGGAUCUUGAAGACGGAGGUAUCUGCGCUGGUUCUUCUGGUGUUGGCUUGUGGUGUACAAUCUAUGCAUUUCUUUGUGUGUCUUCAAGACGGAGGAUCUUGAAGACGGAGGUAUCCGCAAGACGGAGGUAUCUGCGCUGAUUUUGGGUGGGAGCUGAUAGAAGGUACAAGAUUUGGUGUUGCAUUCGGUAGCAUGCUUGCCAAGACUGCCAGGCGAAGUAGUUCACGGUGCUAUGCCUUAGGACUUCUUGCGGUUUGCCAUGUCUGUUCUAUGUAGAGGCUCCACCGGCAUAUUCAUCUUCUUCUACUGCAUAUACUACUAUCACGCGAGAUCAGACAUGUCAGGCUUCAUGCAAACAUAUGACUUGCAUUUGCUAUGGAUUCUUCCUUAUGAUGCUGGGGACUGUCGGUCUGUGCCUCUUUGCUGUUCGUGUGGCACAUAUAUUGGGACAUCGAAUGUGAGUAAAAAUUUGCUCUUUCUGCCAAUAAAUUUCACAAAGUAUCAUAUUGCAGUGACA